rnacentral:rRNA from 1 species
UAGGUGGUUCGUUAAGUCUGAUGUGAAAGCCCUGGGCUCAACCUGGGAAUUGCAUUGGAUACUGGCGGGCUAGAGUACGGUAGAGGGUGGCGGAAUUCCUGGUGUAGCAGUGAAAUGCGUAGAUAUCAGGAGGAACAUCCGUGGCGAAGGCGGCCACCUGGACCAGUACUGACACUGAGGCACGAAAGCGUGGGGAGCAAACAGGAUUAGAUACCCUGGUAGUCCACGCCCUAAACNAUGCGAACUGGAUGCUGGGUUCAAUUAGGAACUCANUAUCNAAGCUAACNCGUUNAGUUCNCCNCCUGGGGANUACGGUCNCAAACUGAANCUCAAAGAAUUGACGGGGCCCCCCCANCGGU